rnacentral:rRNA from 1 species
CCUACGGGAGGCAGCAGUGAGGAAUAUUGGUCAAUGGGCGCGAGCCUGAACCAGCCAAGUCGCGUGAGGGAUGACGGCCCUACGGGUUGUAAACCUCUUUUGCCGGGGAGCAACGGGCGUCACGUGUGGCGCCACUUGGAGUACCCGGAGAAAAAGCAUCGGCUAACUCCGUGCCAGCAGCCGCGGGAAUAGGGAGGAUGCGAGCGUUAUCCGGAUUUAUUGGGUUUAAAGGGAGCGUAGGUGGAUUGUUUAGUCAGUUGUGAAAGUUUGCGGCUCAACCGUAAAAUUGCAGUUGAAACUGGCAGUCUUGAGUACAGUAGAGGUGGGCGGAAUGCGUGGUGUAGCGGUGAAAUGCUUAGAUAUCACGAAGAACUCCGAUUGCGAAGGCAGUUCACUGGACUGCAACUGACACUGAGGCUCGAAAGUGUGGGUAUCAAACAGGAUUAGAUACCCCGGUAGUC